rnacentral:rRNA from 1 species
UACGUAGGGUGCGAGCGUUGUCCGGAAUUAUUGGGCGUAAAGAGCUUGUAGGCGGUUUGUCGCGUCUGCCGUGAAAACCCGGAGCUCAACCCCGGGCCUGCAGCCGAUACGGGCAGACUAGAGUUCGGCAGGGGAGACUGGAAUUCCUGGUGUAGCGGUGAAAUGCGCAGAUAUCAGGAGGAACAUCGGUGGCGAAGGCGGCAUCCUGGACCGGUAUUGACGCUGAGGCGCGAAAGCCAGGGGAGCAAACGGG